rnacentral:rRNA from 2 species
ACAUGCAAGUCGAACGAACUCUGGUAUUGAUUGGUGCUUGCAUCAUGAUUUACAUUUGAGUGAGUGGCGAACUGGUGAGUAACACGUGGGAAACCUGCCCAGAAGCGGGGGAUAACACCUGGAAACAGAUGCUAAUACCGCAUAACAACUUGGACCGCAUGGUCCGAGUUUGAAAGAUGGCUUCGGCUAUCACUUUUGGAUGGUCCCGCGGCGUAUUAGCUAGAUGGUGAGGUAACGGCUCACCAUGGCAAUGAUACGUAGCCGACCUGAGAGGGUAAUCGGCCACAUUGGGACUGAGACACGGCCCAAACUCCUACGGGAGGCAGCAGUAGGGAAUCUUCCACAAUGGACGAAAGUCUGAUGGAGCAACGCCGCGUGAGUGAAGAAGGGUUUCGGCUCGUAAAACUCUGUUGUUAAAGAAGAACAUAUCUGAGAGUAACUGUUCAGGUAUUGACGGUAUUUAACCAGAAAGCCACGGCUAACUACGUGCCAGCAGCCGCGGUAAUACGUAGGUGGCAAGCGUUGUCCGGAUUUAUUGGGCGUAAAGCGAGCGCAGGCGGUUUUUUAAGUCUGAUGUGAAAGCCUUCGGCUCAACCGAAGAAGUGCAUCGGAAACUGGGAAACUUGAGUGCAGAAGAGGACAGUGGAACUCCAUGUGUAGCGGUGAAAUGCGUAGAUAUAUGGAAGAACACCAGUGGCGAAGGCGGCUGUCUGGUCUGUAACUGACGCUGAGGCUCGAAAGUAUGGGUAGCAAACAGGAUUAGAUACCCUGGUAGUCCAUACCGUAAACGAUGAAUGCUAAGUGUUGGAGGGUUUCCGCCCUUCAGUGCUGCAGCUAACGCAUUAAGCAUUCCGCCUGGGGAGUACGGCCGCAAGGCUGAAACUCAAAGGAAUUGACGGGGGCCCGCACAAGCGGUGGAGCAUGUGGUUUAAUUCGAAGCUACGCGAAGAACCUUACCAGGUCUUGACAUACUAUGCAAAUCUAAGAGAUUAGACGUUCCCUUCGGGGACAUGGAUACAGGUGGUGCAUGGUUGUCGUCAGCUCGUGUCGUGAGAUGUUGGGUUAAGUCCCGCAACGAGCGCAACCCUUAUUAUCAGUUGCCAGCAUUAAGUUGGGCACUCUGGUGAGACUGCCGGUGACAAACCGGAGGAAGGUGGGGAUGACGUCAAAUCAUCAUGCCCCUUAUGACCUGGGCUACACACGUGCUACAAUGGAUGGUACAACGAGUUGCGAACUCGCGAGAGUAAGCUAAUCUCUUAAAGCCAUUCUCAGUUCGGAUUGUAGGCUGCAACUCGCCUACAUGAAGUCGGAAUCGCUAGUAAUCGCGGAUCAGCAUGCCGCGGUGAAUACGUUCCCGGGCCUUGUACACACCGCCCGUCACACCAUGAGAGUUUGUAACACCCAAAGUCGGUGGGGUAACCUUUUAGGAACCAGCCGCCUAAG